AGAAGAUUAAAGACCUGCAGAAUCAUUUGGAUUCCAAGACGGAUGAGCUGAACUCCAAGUCUGACAACGUCACUUCACUUCACUUAAAAGAA